GGCAACGGCCAUACCACGUUGAAAACGCCAGUUCUCGUCCGAUCACUGAAGCUAAGCAACGUCGGGCGCGGUUAGUACUUGGAUGGGUGACCGCUUGGGAACACCGCGUGCUGUUGUCA
rfam:Agrilus planipennis Contig26801, whole genome shotgun sequence.